UGUUGACAUAUGCAUAAGUUUGAGAAGUAUUGGUCUAAGGAAGCUAACUGGAAGAUAGACAGCUAACUGGAAGAUAAAUUCGGCCAGGUGCAGUGGCUCAUGCCUGUAAUCCCAGCACUUUGGGAGGCCGAGGCAGGCAGAUCACUUGAGGUCAGGAGCUCCAGAUGAGCCUGGCCAACAUGGCCAAACCCUGUCUGUACUAAAAAUAUAAAAAAGUUAGCCAGGCAUGGUGGCGGGUGCCUGUAAUCCCAGCUACUCAGGAGGCUGAGGCAGGAGAAUCACCUGAACCCGGGAGGCAGAGGUUGCAGCCAACUGAGAUCACACCACUGCACUCCAGCCUGGGAGACAGAGCGAGACUCUGUCUCAAAAAAAAAGAAGAUACAUUCGGUAACUUGUUCAAGGUCAUUUAUCCCCACUAUAGUGAAGUAACAGUGGGCCACAGAGAUUAAGUAGGUUCUAACUAGGAACAGAGUUAUUAUCAAACUGAGUUAUACUAAUUUUGUAUCUAGUGAAGGCAUCAUCAACAUGUUUUUCUGUAAAAAAACAGAUAGUAAAAUAUAUCAGGUUUUGUGGGCCAGGUAAUCUCUGUGGAAACUACUCAACUCUGCCAUAGCAGUUGAAAGCAGCUAUAGACACCAUGCAAAGGAAUGAAACAGGCAUCAAGCUGGAUUUGGGCCAUGGCUAUAAUUUGCCAACCUUUAGUCUAGUACAACUUUUUUUUUUUUUUCGAGAUGGGAUCUUGCUAUGUUGCCUAGGCUGGAGUGCAGUGGCUAUUCAUAGGCAUGAUCAUAUUGCACUGCAACCUCAAACUCCUGGGCUCAAGCGAUCGAUCCUCCCACCUUAGCCUCUCCCAAGUAGCUGGGACUACAGGUGCUCACUGCCACACCCAGCUAGUGCAUCUUUAAUUCCAAUGAAAAGUAUCAGGAUAUGCUACCCCAAAAUAUGCCACUUUGGCAUAAGGAUUAUUUUGAGCCGAAGGCAACUGAGAAGUGGAUACAAGAAAAGCUCCUUGCCUUCCCCUAUUUGCUAAAAGCAGGACAUAAAUUAACAAAGGUGUCCCUUCUCCUCUCUCCACCAGGAAGGAUAAAGGUUAGUCACAGAAGACAGCUUUAGGUCCUUAACAGCCUAGAGAAGGCACCAGAGGCAUCUACAUAACAAACUGCACUAACUAGCCUUUAUCUGCCAUUAGUUCCCCAUGUAUUUGCCUUCCUACAAUUCGCCAUCGCUAAAGACUGAAGGUCUUUUUCCUUUGUCUUGUCACUUCUCUAAAAGUGUACUGUUCUUUGUUGAAGAUGCUAUAUAAGCCAGAGUUCUAAGAAAUCUUUUUGAGAAUUACUCUUUCCCUGAAUUUUCUCCCAUGUAUAUAUGAAAUAUGCAUGUUAAUAAACUUCCAUUUGUUUUUCUCUUGUUAACCUAUGUUUUGUUACAGGGCUCCCAGCUGAGAACUCACAAGAGUAGAGGAAAAAUUAUUUUUUCCUUCACUACACCAAUAUGAGCACCAUGAAACAGGAAACUUUAUUUUAAAAUUAGGAUUUAAGGCCAGGCAUGGUGGCUUAGGCCUGUAAUCCCAGCACUUUGGGAGGCCAAGGUGGGCAGAUCACUUGAGGUCAGGAGUUCAAGAGCAGCCUGGCUAACAUGGUAAAACCCCGUCUCUACUAAAAAUACAAAAAUUAACCGAGUAUGGUGGUGCACCUGUAAUCCCAGCUACUCGGGAGGCUGAGGCACAAGAAUUGCUUGAACCCAGGAGGCGGGGUUUGCAGUAAGCCAAGAUGGCACUACUGCACUCCAGCCUGGGUGACAGAAUGAGACCCUGUCUCGGAAAAAGAAAAAAAAGAAAAUUAGGAUUUAAAAGAUGGUAAAUUUUAAUUAUUUGGGCCUUUUCCUUAGGUAGAACAGCCCAAUGUCAACUAGUAACAGAUAAAUGACGCUGAAGCAUUACUAGAAUUAGUGCACAUUACUGAAGUUUCUCCAUGACUCUAACUGGGUCUUGGGAUCUUUCACAUGAUCUUGUAAUCCUUUAAUGUCUACCAUUUGAUGCUGUGCACCCUCUUGGGCACAAAUUUACUUCAAACAAAUAAGAAAAACAGAUACAAAUUUUACAAUUUUACUUUCCCUUAAGAGCAAAUAAGUAAAAUUGACACAUAUACUUUGUGAUUAUGUAACACAUUCCAUGGCAAAAACUUUUUUUUUUGAAGGGGGAAUAAGUUUCAUACCUAGCCUAUUGCCAGCAGCCUAAAGUAGUUUUAAACUCUUAUGAUAACAUUAACGAAGCCAUUAAGACAUGCAUAUUCUUGUUCUUUGCUAAUCUUUCUCUGCUCCGUCUUUCUCAAAUGUACAAUUCUCUACAUGGUUGGAUGAUUCUGAGUAAAUUAAAUAUGCUUCAUUCCCUAAUAAAUGUCUGAGCCUAGAUGGCUUAAUAGCAUUUUUAUCUGCUCACAUGGCAAUUAUGAUACAUUUGUUUCCUGUAUAGAAGUCUUCUCCACACCCUCCACUAUGAAGACAUAACAUUUUAUUUAUACAGUGUAUAUACAUAUAUACAAACACAUACAUAUAUAUACAUAUACACAUAUAUGUUUAGAAAGUAAGAAAUAGGCCAGGUGCAGUGGCUCACACCUGUAAUCCCAGCACUUUAGGAGGCCGAGGCCGGCGGAUCACCUGAGGUCAGGAGUUCGAAAUCAGACUGGCCAAUGUGGCAAAACACUGACUCUACUAAAAAUACAAAAAUUAGCCAGGCACAGUGGUGGCUGCCUGUAAUCCUAGCUACUCAGGAGGCUGAGGCAGGAGAAUCACUUGAACCUGGGUGGUGGAGGUUGUGGUGAGCCAAGAUCGCACCAUUGCACUCCAGCCUAGGCAACAGAGCGAGAUUUUGUCUAAAAAAAAAAGUUAGAAAUAAAUUACAUAAAGGCAGUUACACUUAAUUGACCAGUUAAAACACUAGCACCUUAUUGUACAAAAAAUGGCUACUCAUCCACCAAAGAGUUCUAUUCCUUUCCCAAAGUAAAUUAUUUUUACUAAGAAACAGUUGCCCAGCCAGGGACUGUAUUUCCUAGCUUCCUUGAAUCUAGUUGAGGCCAUGUGACUGGUUCUGCCAAUAGAAUGUAAGCAGAAGUGAUGUGUUUCCCUUGCUGGUGAAGGCAGUCAACACGGUUUCCUUUUGCCAUACUCUUUCCCCCUUGCAGUGACUCUGGAGACCACAUGAAGAUGGUGGCAUCACAAGAAGGAAUGAACCUUGAUCCCUGAGUCACCUGAAGGACAGCUACCCAGGAGAGCUGCCCAACAGGAAUAACUGAUUAGGACUUGUGUGAGCUAGAUUAAACCACUGAGGUUUGGAAAUGUUUGUUACAGCAGUUAGCCUACCUUACAGCAUACAGAAUAUACCUGUAUCGGUGAAAGACUCAAAUCAUGAUUUAUUGAAGUAUUUCUAAGAUAAAUGCAACUAUUGAGGAAUCAUAUGUAUAAGAAGAGCUUGCAGGUUACCAUUUUUGCCACUUACCUACCCCAUUCAUCUGAGUUUAAAACCAGUGUGAGCCUGGGCAACAAGGUGAAACCCUGUCUCUACCAAAAAUACAAAAAUAGUAGGGCGUGGUGUUAUGUGCCUGUAGUCCCAGCUACUUAGGAGGCUGAGGUGAGAGGAUGGCUUUGAGCCCAGGAGGCAGAGGUUGCAGUGAGUUGAAAUUGCACCACUGCACUCUAGCCUGGGUGACAGCGAGACCUUGCCUCAAAAAUAAAAUAAAAUAAAAUGAAACCAGUCUGAAUGAGUAGAGACCUACUUAUUAAGUAAAUUCUGAUAUUUAACAUCUUUUCUAACACUGUGUAAAUUCUAUAGCUCAUCUGUAUCACUGGAUAUGAAACAAGGUAGGACGUAUUGUAUGCUAUAUUUAGAAUACAUUUGGAACAUAAAGUGUAAACCAGAAGACACUCUUAAAAUUAAAUUUGCCUCCCCCAAAGCAGAAUGUACUGGACUUCAGUCAUUCAGUACCAUCUUCAUGAGUUUUUCCAUAGCUGUGUACCUAAUAUAUUAUUAUUUACUUCAUAUUUUUCUAGACCUAAGGAGGGCACAGAGAGAUGUGGCAGUUGUGAGACUUCAGUUCCACAUCUGCCCUAUUCAGAAGUCCAAGAUGUUCAUUCUGGGACUUCCUUUGGCUCUUGAGGAAUUGGUCCUGGAGUUUUCAGGAUCCAGAUGAAUAGCUGGGGGCUCUGAGGAAAAAGAACUGGUCGGGCUUAUCUGGGGUCUGAGCAGAAAGAAAGCCUCUUGUAACUGGUGGGGGAAAGAUAUGUCAGAGAACUGAAAUGGGAUAAGACAUCCAAAUAAAGGGGCCUUUUAUGGGGUGGGGGUAGGUAGGAAUCUGUAAAUAUUUCCUUAUAGCGCUUACUAACCUUUUUUGACUUAGGAAACCAUUUGAGAAUCUGAUGAAAGCUAUGGAACUUCUUCCCCCUCAAACAUACAUAAGAGCAUUCACUUAAAUACUUAUACAUAAUUUUGGGAGAUCUUAGAGUAUUUGUAGCCCACCACUGAACCCCAGGUUAAAAAUUCUUAUUUUAGUGACAAAUUUAAUAGCUGAUCCUCAGGUUUAUAAAGGAACCCACCAGUAAAUAAUGCAGACACUUCCCUAUAAAAGAGAGAGAACAUAGCUAUUUCUUCCAUCUCUUCCCCCUUGACGGGAUGAGGAAGAGCUGGGAAAUAGAGAUAAUGUCACCCCUAAGCUUUUCUCUGCUGCUGUCCCUAACCUCAGUGCCUUGGUACAGUCCAGCAGUGGGGCACCAUCAACAGAAUUUGUUUUUAAAAAACGUUUAAAAACUUUAUUUUGAAAUAAUAUUAGUCUUACAUAGAAGUUGCAAAAAUAGUACAUGAAUUCCCUAUUCUGUCCUCCCCCUACCCCUGGUAACUACCAUUCUACUUUCUGUCUCCAUGUGUAUGACUACUCUAGGUACCUAAUAUAAACAGAAUCAUACAAUAUUGUCCCUUCUGUGACUAACUUAUUUCACCUAGCAUAAUGUUUUCAAAGUUUACUAUUUUGGACCCCCUGACUGGGUGUUUUGCAACUAUAGCAAAUUAAAAUGGGCAAUGUAGAAAAUCUGAAAAUUUCAAUGGAAACUAGUAUACCAAACAUGUCUGGACACUGCUGAACCUAUUAACUGGAGGUAGUUUGCAGUUUCAACAGUAGAUCAUGUUACAUUCCUAUCCAAGACAAUACAUCUUUGCAAAGCUGGGUUUUCUGUGGCUGCUGUGAUAAAAGCCAAAUGCUGCGGAAAUAUUAAUGUGAAACAGGAAAUGAGAGUGGCAGUGUCCAACACGAUCCCAAGGUUUGAAAAGUAGUAUAGGCACACACAUACGGUUAGUAAUUAUGACUUUAAAGGAUGUAAAAUAUUUUUUCUCUCAGUUUAUGUAUAUUAUUUUUUCAAACAACUUCUAAGUAAAUACUCAGUUGUUUGAACCUAACUACUAACUACUGAAACCUAAGGGAAUUGUGAAAAAAUUACUAACUACUGAAGCCUAAGGGAAUUGUGAAAAAAUUAACUCAGACACUAAGGGCUCCAUGAAACCAAGUUUCAGAAUCUUUGCCUUAACCAAGAAGUAACAAAACAGUGUAAGAUUCACCAAGGAAAGCCAUGUGACCUUGAAGAAAUAAAACAAAGACAAUAACACAAACAUAUCAACCAGGAAGAGGAAUUUGGGUUGUUAAAACCAUUUUUAAAGGUCACUCUUAGCUUAAUCCUUCAAAUCCCACACAAUGCCUUCUGGAUAAUUUGCAUUUUUAAAAAAACUUCUAAAACGCACGCACCCAAAUUACUGUUUUCCCACUUCUUAGGGACUCAAGCAAAGCUUUUAAAAUCACAGCCAUCAAUCUAUGUUGGAAGAGACUGGGUCUCCCCUACACAGACAGAACACACCUUCGGGAUCCGUGCCAGGGAGACAGGAGAAACUUGGAAGAAGACAGAGACUAAAAGAUCCCCCGACUUUGAGACUUUCGGCUUUUUUGUGGUUUGUAUCUUACCCUCAAUAGCCUGCUUUUAAGUUCAAUAACAAUGCUCCUUGAGAAAAAAAGAAAAAUAAAGAAUGCUCCAGGUUAUUGUGGAAAUGCUUGUUGGGAAACUUCCUUUCCUCAGGGUUUUUCAUAUAAGCAAGGGAAAAAGUUAACACAACAUCCAGAAUAGUGGUUCCUUGGGUGGGAGGCGAGAAGUGAGUGGAAGGCAAUGGAGAGGGGUACUCAGGGGCUCCAGGGGCCUGGCGAUGUUCUAGUUCUUCAGCCGGGUGACUCGUACUUGGGUGUGAUCUAUUGUUAUUCUUUACAUUGCACUCUAAGGUUUAUACUGUCUGAGUGUAUGAUGUAUUUCACAGUGGCAGCACCAGCAUCUCUAUACAAGAAGGAGGCCUUGGGAGUUGGAAGUGUGCCUUGUCUCUAAGCUGAGUUGGAUCGCAGGCAGUCUGCUUUUACAUGGAGCAUAUGCUUAUCUGGAAAGGCUUUGGGGAGGCUGAUGAGUUUAAGUGGGAGACUAAGAUUAAUUUUUGGUGCCACCAUGAAAAAACAAGGAGUUAAUAAAUUCACAUUUUUAAAAAUUACCAUUGGUUUAUACCUCCCAACACUGCGACUAGUUGUUUUCUGGUCUCUUUAAUUCCUCUUCAUCCCUCUUCUACCCUUCCCCCAUGUCCAGUAUGACCUAGAGGGCAGAAAAUACUCCCCAAUUUUAAUUUGUAUCCCUAAUUUUUAAAAAAUUUUUUGUUACCAUAUGCUAAACAAAUACUAAAGAUGACAAAGUGUAACAUGUAUCGGUAUAGACACACCUACUACACUCAAGAACAAGGCUGCAGACCAGUACAGUGGCUCACACCUGUAAUCCCAACACUUUGGGAGGCUGAGACAGGAGGAGUUCGAGACCAGCUUAGGCAACACAGUGAGACUCUGUCUCUAGUAAAAUAAAAAAAUUCAAAAUUAGCCAGGUGUGGUGGUCCCAGGCUGAGGUGGGAAGAUCGGUUGAGCUAAGGAGGUCAAAGCUUACAGCCUGGGCAACAGAGCGAAACUCUGUCUCAAAACAACAACAACAAAAACCCCGCCAAGGCUGCUAUUGGUGUUUUGGGGAUGAGAAACCCCCAAUCAGUAUACCAUGGAUGGGACCACCUUGGACCCAGGUGUGUUUGUCUUCAUUGCCCAAGUUCUUUCCACUUACACUGGCCUAACAGAACCUAAGCAUGAAUGAAUUCAACAUCCAACAGGUUCGCAAAAGGUGUCUAACACACAAGAGUACAAUGCCAAGCAUUUCAUUCCCAUCACUUCACUGCAUGAACACAAUACUACGAGGUUAUGUACAAUACCUGCAGUUUAGAGUUCUAAAAACUAAGGUUUAAAGAAGUGGGUUUUCCAAAGUCACACACCUAACAAGUGGUGGAGUCAGAACUCCAUCUCACGGGCCCGAAGUGGCUCUUUACUACCACGUGACCCAUCUCAUGCUACCUCGCGGGGGAAACAUUCUUGACCAGCUUUGAGACAUUCAAGUCCCUCUUGGGUCACAAAUAAUGCUGCACUUCCCCUCCAGUCCCCGAGAUCUACCGGAAGCAACACACUUAAAAGCCCAAGAUAAGCUUGGGUGAGCUGAUGUCUGGACCCAAACCAGACAGCACGCCGACUCUCUGGACCCCGGGAGAUGCCACUUGCUGAGGCUUCGCCGAUGGGGCUCCUGAGGGGUAUCGGCCCCUCUCCUGCGACUGCACCCUAGUGCUGUCGUCCAGGGCGGGGAGGGACGGGGUCAUUCGGAGGCGGCCGCAGGCCAGGGACCUACCCUCCUACGCGCCGCAGACCGCGGGGUACUCGGACCCCCGCCCCCACCGCCCUUCCUUCAAACUGCAAGCGAGCAGGAGAACGAGGGACGAGCCCCAGAAGAAAGUUCUCCACCUCCCUCGCCCGAAGUUCCAUAUUCCAGGGAGGCAACUGAUGCCAGGCGAAGAGGGAGGCGCCCCGGGGGGACCCCCUCGCGCCGGGCGUUUUCGGAGGCCGCAGGCCAGGGGGCGAGGCGCGGUGUCCGGGUCUCCUCCGCGGGCAGUCGGCGAUCCUGGGGUGCCGAGGGAGCAGCGCCCCCUUCCCCCGACAGCGUCCUCCCCGACCUGAGGCGCCCACCCCGGUCCACUUCUUCAAUACCUAGAAGAGCUCCCUGAACACAGGAAGCAUUCAAUAAGCUACUGUUGAAUACAUGUAAGAUGGAUGGGAUCUCAUUCCACCCUUUGAAGAAGCAUGGACAGGUAUCUGCUCUCCAAAGGCGGAGAGAUGGAAGAGGAGGCAAGCAGCACCCUAAAAUGGACUAUCAAUCUUACCUGAGGUUUUGGGACAAGCUUAUCACGAAUCUGAUUUUUUUUUCUUUCUUGCUUAAAAUUUUUUUUUGAGACGAAGUCUCACUCUGUCACCCAGGCUGGAGUGCAAUGGCACCAUCUAGGCUCACUGCAACCUCCGCCUCCCAGGUUCAAGUGAUUCUCCUGCCUCAGCCUCCUGAGUAGCUGGGAUUACAGGUGCCCGCCACCAUCCCUGGCUAAUUUUUGUAUUUUUAGUAGAGAUGGGGUUUCACCAUAUUGGUCAGGCUGGUCUCGAACUCCUGACCUCGUGAUCCUCCAGCCUCGGCCUCCCAAAGUGCUGGGAUUACAGGCAUGAGCCACUGCACCCAGCCGACUUUUCUUAUUCCCUCUGAAACAGGCCUGGUUUCCAGGAGAAAAGAAACAUGAUGAUUUCUUCCUUUUCCUUAAGAUGUUUGUUUCCCUCUCUCCUUCAGGGAUCAUUAGGCAGGAGAGAUCCCAAGAGCCUGUUUCCACACUAGGAAGGGGAAGUUCUUGAUUUUCUCCUACUGCUUCUGAAAUUUUCCCAACCCCAUAGUCACAGCUGCAGUUUUACCUAACAGGAUGUGAAAUCUCUCUUCUGAGUAUCCUUUGGCCUUUUCCAGACUUUUUUUUCCCCCUUAAGAUGGGGCCUUGCUGUGUCACCCAGGCUGAAGUGCAGUAGCCCACUGCAGUCUUGAACUCCUGGGCUCAAGCAAUCCUCCUGCCUCUGCCUCCUGAAUAGUUGGGAUUACAAGUGUGCACCACCAUGCCCAGCUAAUUUUUUUAUGUUUAACACAGAGGAGGUCAAGGCUGGUCUUGAACUCCUGGGCUCAAGUAAUCCUCCGGCCUCAGCCUCCCAAAGUGUUGGGAUUACAGGUGUGAGCCACCGCGCCCAGCCCUUCUUCAGAUUUGUGCCCCAUUCCUGUUGCUCUACACCUGGAGCUGAUAGAAGAACACAUUUCCUUUCUCUGCUGGCUUGUAGCUCCAGGUUUCUCUCCAGGCAGGUUACUAAUGAGUUCCUAGAUAACCCUCAAAGUCAAAGUUUGUACACAUGACCUUUCUUUUUAUUUUUUGAGAUGGAGUUUUGCUUUUAUUGCCCAGGCUAGAGUGCAGUGGUGCAAUCUCGGCUCACUGCAACCUCCACCUUCCGGUUUCAAGCAAUUCUCCUGCCUCAGCCUCCCAAGUAGCUGGGAUUACAGGCGCCUGCCACCACGCCCAGCUAAUUUUUUUGUAUUUUUAGUAGAGACGGAGUUUCACCAUGUUGGUCAGGCUGAUCUCGAACUGCUGACCUUGUGAUCCACCUGCCUCAGCCUCCCAAAGUGCUGGGAUUACAGGUGUGAGCCACCGCGCCCAGCCACAUGACCUUUCAAUGUGAUCAUUUCUCUCUUGUACUUUUCCACAUUGAGUUUUCCUAGCUAGUCCCUCGAAUAAACUUCCAAAGAUGCAAAUGCUCAGUUUCCCUGAUAGGCUUUUAAAACAUCACCAGAAAGUCACAUUGAGAUGAGAUUUUAAGUUAUAUUUGUGGGUAGUCAGAGCAAUGACCCCGAAAGAAACAGAAAGCCCAAGCCAGCCUGCAAGACAUGUGAGCGCUCCUGGGAACUGACUGGUCUGCUUUUGUUCCCAGACUUUGAUUAAUGGGGAUUCCUGGCAGGAGGUCUCAUGAGAGCCAAAGCAGGCAGUGGCUGAGCUGCUUGGAGAUCUUGCUUGCUUAUCUCCAAGUGGGCAGACAGUCUUUGGGCGACCAACGAAGAAGACUCCUAAAUCUCCCUCUUUAUGAGAAGGGCUCCCAGGCUGCAGCUCUGUUCUUGCCCCUACGUUCAGCUCAAUCACAGCCAGCCUCUUAUAUUCACCCUAGCUCACCCUCCUUCUGCCUUGUGAGAAAGAAGUUUGCUCUGCAAAUGAUCAUUUUCACUGCUUUGUGAUAAUAUAAUCUGCUCCUAUUUUCAACAACAUGUCUUUAAUGAGCUGACUGCAUUAGCUGUCUUUCAUGUUGUUAGCUUCAACGCAGCCUUCAACACACCAUUCUGGCUUCCAUCCCUGCCACUCCACUGAAACUGCCUUUGCUAAAGCUUCCACUCAAGGAAGAACCCUUCCAUCUGCCGCUCUAUAAUCAUAUCCUUCUCUUUCAGAGGAAACCACCAUCCUAAGUUUUGUGUUAAUAAUUAUGUUAUCACAAAUAUAUGUGUCCCUAAACACUA